UUCCCUGAGACCUCAAGUGUGAGUGUACUAUUGAUGCUUCACACCUGGGCUCUCCGGGUAC
rnacentral:pre_miRNA from 1 species